AUUGAACGCUGGCGGCAGGCCUAACACAUGCAAGUCGAACGAGUGGCGGACGGGUGAGUAAUGGCUGGGAAACUGACUGAUGGAGGGGGAUAACUACUGGCAACGGUAGCUAAUACCGCAUACCAUCGGAUGUGCCCAGAUGGGAUUAGCUAGUAGGUGGGGAAACGGCUCACCUAGGCGACGAUCCCUAGCUGGUCUGAGAGGAGGAACAGCCACACUGGAACUGAGACACGGUCCAGAUUCCUACGGGAGGCAGCAGUGGGGAAUAUUGCACAAUGGGCGCAAGCCUGAUGCAGCCAUGCCGCGUGUAUGAAGAAGGCCUUCGGGUUGUAAAGUACUUUCAGCGGGGAGGCGUUACCCGCAGAAGAAGCACCGGCUAACUCCGUGCCAGCCGCCGCGGUAAUUC
rnacentral:rRNA from 1 species